rnacentral:lncRNA from 1 species
AAAAUGUCCACAUAAGUUAUUUCAGUUUUUCCAGAAUGCUUUUUAUUUAUUUUUUACACACUGUCAGUAAACCAGAAGAAUUCAUUUCUUGCACAGUUUGAGCCAUAAACAUCCUGUGAGGUGCCAAGUGAGAGCCAUGGGUAUUCAGCGUCUCAUAGCACAAAGCUCUGCAAGUGUCACAUUUUGAGUGGUUCCUUUUGGAAACUUGAUAGUUUCUCCUUGUGGUCACUGCUGGGAACAUGAUAAAAGGCAAAUGAAUGUCUACAAAUAAAAAAUUACCAAGUCAGCAUGAGUCCUUUCAAGGCUUUGGGUUGGCCUCAGUGCUAGAGUUGGGUAGAGUUGGAAGGGUCAGGCAGAGCCAUUUGUCAGAAGUGAGAGCCAGGGAGGAGGCUGUGAGAUAUGUGCAAAAGUUCUGGGGAGAAGAGAGAUGCCAGGGAAGGAGGCAACAUGACCUCUCUGGGUGGCAGAGGAACUCGGAACACUGCAUGUUAGCCACUAAAUUCAGAAAAAUCUUCUAUCCUAAAUCAGUCUUAUGAGCUAUUGGAUUGCUUAGUUUUGUCUUGCAUUCUCCUUUUCCUCUUCUAAGGAUGAAAGCUGAUCAGCUAAUGAAGAGGAGUUUUCUCUGGCUGAAUAAGAGGCCAAAAAUUCUAAUUAAUUCUGCAUUAACUGAUUUGGACUUUAACGUUGAUAAAAGUUUGACAUGAAUGUCACUGAAGAUGAUUAUUCUCCCAUGCAAUCAAAAACUUCCAAAUCACACAGAGAGCAACAGCGUCUUAAUAAGGAGUGUAUUCUUUACCAUAAUCACCUCUUUCUUUGUUUCUCACCAGCUUUGACUAGAAAAGGCAUUACUGCUACGGAGCACGAAACCACAGGAACUCAUGCAUCACCAUUGCUCAGCACCCUGCCAUUGCACCGUGCCGCGCCGCAGGUCAAAGCAAGCCAUGGCGGGUACCACAGUGGGGCAGGCGGCUGCGUGCGGGGGCAGCUCCUCCCGAGCUCCACCCUCCACCCUGAGAGCAAGAUGCUAGCCUUGAGCCAACAAUCCCUCUCCAAACAUGACUCUGCAGGGUGACUGAGAACCCACCUGAGGGGAGCCAGCAUGGAGAGGGCACUGACCAGGGAAGAGGAUGAUGGCGAGUCAAGCCCUUGCUCAUCCCAAGAAGCUCAGCUUCACCUCUCAAUAUCCUCCCUCAGUGCUCUAAAUAAUUGUACCAGGUACAGAGUCUCUCCCAUGUGCCCUGACAGCCUUUGAAAGCCUAUUGGUGUCUUUGUACAGGAAGGGAAAAUGUCUGAAGUCUCAAAAACAUUCAGAGGAGGAGACAGCAGCAGCCGUCAGAUGUAUCUUUCCCAUCUUUUCAUGACCUUUGCCAUUCUAGAAGGGUACUGAUUAACGUUAGUUUGCUUGUUUUGUGUGCUGAGCCUCAAUGCUACCAGUCUCCACACUGACCUACGCUUUCUGCUCUUUAAGGCUUGAAGAUUUGUAUCUGCUUCAUUGUCGAGUACCAUUUUAUUUUUGGAUUAGUCAAUUCUGGAGUAGUAAAGCACUUCACGCCUGUUAGAGAUUGUCUCUAACAUCAACAAAACUUAAAAAAACAAGUAUACUCUUAACAAAACAAGGGAUAUCAAAA